rnacentral:rRNA from 1 species
CCUACGGGAGGCAGCAGUGGGGAAUAUUGCGCAAUGGGCGAAAGCCUGACGCAGCGACGCCGCGUGAGGGAUGAAUGUCUUCGGAUCGUAAACCUCUGUCAGCAGGGAAGAACGGUCACUGUGCUAAUCAGCAGUGAAUUGACGGUACCUGCAAAGGAAGCACCGGCUAACUCCGUGCCAGCAGCCGCGGUAAUACGGAGGGUGCGAGCGUUAAUCGGAAUUACUGGGCGUAAAGCGCGCGUAGGCGGUAUGUCAAGUCAAGGGUGAAAUCCCCGCGCUCAACGUGGGAAUUGCCUUUGAAACUGGCAAACUUGAGUAUGUGAGAGGUUAGUGGAAUUCCAGGUGUAGGAGUGAAAUCCGUAGAUAUCAGGAGGAACAUCAGUGGCGAAGGCGACUAUCUGGCACAUAACUGACGCUGAGGAGCGAAAGCGUGGGUAGCAAACAGGAUUAGAUACCCGAGUAGUC